CCUUCGGGCCUUGCGCUAUCAGAUGAGCCUAGGUCGGAUUAGCUAGUUGGUGGGGUAAUGGCUCAUCAAGGCGACGAUCCGUAACUGGUCUGAGAGGAUGAUCAGUCACACUGGAACUGAGACACGGUCCAGACUCCUACGGGAGGCAGCAGUGGGGAAUAUUGGACAAUGGGCGAAAGCCUGAUCCAGCCAGGCCGCGUGUGUGAAGAAGGUCUUCGGAUUGUAAAGCAAAGGAAGUUGGGAGGAAGGGCAGUA
rnacentral:rRNA from 1 species